GUAGGUGGCAAGCGUUGUCCGGAAUUAUUGGGCGUAAAGCGCGCGCAGGCGGUUCUUUAAGUCUGAUGUGAGAGCCCACGGCUCAACCGUGGAGGGUCAUUGGAAACUGGAGAACUUGAGUACAGAAGAGGAAAGCGGAAUUCCACGUGUAGCGGUGAAAUGCGUAGAGAUGUGGAGGAACACCAGUGGCGAAGGCGGCUUUCUGGUCUGCAACUGACGCUGAGGCGCGAAAGCGUGGGGGGGAGCAAACAGGAUUAGAUACCCUGGUAGUCCACGCCGUAAACGAUGAGUGCUAAGUGUUAGGGGGUUUCCGCCCCCCCCUUAGUGCUGCAGCUAACGCAUUAAGCACUCCGCCUGGGAGUACGGCCGCAAGGCUG
rnacentral:rRNA from 1 species